GGGCCCAUAGCUCAGUUGGUUAGAGCGUCCGGCUCAUAACCGGCAGGUCCCAGGUUCGAAUCCUGGUAGGCCCACCA
rnacentral:tRNA from 1 species